CAAGAUAAAGCUUAAUAGUUAAGUGUUUCAUUUACACUGAAAAUUUUUCUGUGCAAUUCAGGGUAUCUUGA
rnacentral:tRNA from 1 species